UACAGAGGGUGCGAGCGUUAAUCGGAAUUACUGGGCGUAAAGGGUGCGUAGGCGGUUGAGUGAGUGGUAUGUGAAAGCCCUGGGCUUAACCUAGGAAGUGCAUGCCAAACGACUCGACUGGAAUACAGGAGAGGGUGGUGGAAUUUCCGGUGUAGCGGUGAAAUGCGUAGAGAUCGGAAGGAACGUCAAUGGCGAAGGCAGCCACCUGGACUGAUAUUGACGCUGAGGCACGAAAGCGUGGGGAGCGAACAGG
rnacentral:rRNA from 1 species